UAGGGAAUCUUCCACAAUGGACGAAAGUCUGAUGGAGCAACGCCGCGUGAGUGAAGAAGGGUUUCGGCUCGUAAAGCUCUGUUGGUAGUGAAGAAAGAUAGAGAUAGUAACUGGCCUUUAUUUGACGGUAAUUACUUAGAAAGUCACGGCUAACUACGUGCC
rnacentral:rRNA from 1 species